rnacentral:tRNA from 1 species
UUUAAUAUGGCAGAUAAGUGCAAUGAAUUUAAGCUUCAUUUAUAAAAACAUUAAUGUUUUUUAUUAAAA